rnacentral:lncRNA from 1 species
UAUAACUUUGAAACAUACUUGAAGUCAUUUCGUUCACUUUAGGAAAGGAUCUCAUUUCAAGCUUUAGGAAAAUCAUUCAAUCUCAAUGGAAAGAUACUCUAGUUUAAGGAAAUAACUUAUCUCAAAGCUUCAUGGAAAAUACCAUAUCAAGGAAGAAUACUUUCGUUUCGAGAAACAACUCAUAUCAAGGAAAUGCUUUAGUUAG